GCGGCGUGCUUAACACAUGCAAGUCGAACGAACCUUCGGGUUAGUGGCGGACGGGUGAGUAACGCGUGGGAAUCUGCCCUCAGGAGGGGGAUAACGGUUGGAAACGGCCGCUAAUACCCCAUAUGCCGAGAGGUGAAAUGAAUUUCGCCUGAGGAUGAGCCCGCGUCUGAUUAGCUAGUUGGUGAGGUAAGAGCUCACCAAGGCAUCGAUCAGUAGCUGGUCUGAGAGGAUGAUCAGCCACACUGGGACUGAGACACGGCCCAGACUCCUACGGGAGGCAGCAGUGGGGAAUUUUCCGCAAUGGGCGAAAGCCUGACGGAGCAACGCCGCGUGAGGGAUGAAGGCCUCUGGGCUGUAAACCUCUUUUAUCAAGGAAGAAGAUCUGACGGUACUUGAUGAAUAAGCCACGGCUAAUUCCG
rnacentral:rRNA from 1 species